rnacentral:rRNA from 1 species
UACGUAGGUGGCGAGCGUUGUCCGGAUUUACUGGGCGUAAAGGAUGCGUAGGUGGAAAUUUAAGUGGGAUGUGAAAUCCCCGGGCUCAACCCGGGAACUGCAUUCCAAACUGGGUUUCUAGAGUGCAGGAGAGGAAAGCGGAAUUCCUAGUGUAGCGGUGAAAUGCGUAGAUAUUAGGAAGAACACCGGUGGCGAAGGCGGCUUUCUGGACUGUAACUGACACUGAGGCAUGAAAGCGUGGGGAGCAAACAGG